GUCAGAGAACAGAUCAGAGGAGGAACUCUCUGAGAUCCACUGCUCAGCUCUGGCCUACAUGCUGCAGAUGUCAGAGGAGAUUCUGGAUGAGUUGGACCUGGUGAAGUUCAACACAUCAGACCAGGGUCGACAGAGACUGAUCCCAGCUGUGAGGAACUGCAGGAAGGCUCGACUCGGUGUAUGUGGACUCUCAGAGACUCAGUGUGAAGUCAUGGCCUCAGCUCUGAAGUCAGACCCCUCACAUCUGAGAGAACUGGAUCUGAGUGGAAACCAGCUGCAGGAUUCAGGAGUGAAGCUGCUGUGUUCUGGACUGGAGAGUCCAAACUGUCAACUGGAGACUCUGAGGUCCUUAAAUCUUUGUUCACUUUUCAGACUUUCUUUCUUAUUGGGUCACUCGUCCUCCUUAGGUUUUCAAAAUAAGACACAUUCUUAUUGAAACACGUUGGACAGUUGAUAAGUAUAGAAACAAACAGGAUGUGACUGUCUGAAGCCAUCCCUACUUUAAACAGUGUUUAAUUAUACAAACCUGCUCAGUGACCAACACACAGAGAAGAGGCUGAUGAAGGAAACAAUGGUCCAACUGUCAGAGAUCAGCUGUUCUUCUCUUGCUUCAGCUCUGAGGUCAAACCCCUCUCAUCUGAGAGAACUGGAUCUGAAUGACAACGACCUGCAGGACUCAGGAGUGAAGGAGCUGUGUGGUUUUCUACAGAGUCCAACCUGUCGAUUGGAGACUCUGAGGUGUGAGGGGUCUUAGUGAAGGUGAGUGUGAAGAGGACAGUGUGUUUGGACGGAGGCUGAGCUGUGUCCUGAGGAUCCAGAGGCUGAAGCAGCAGCAGCUUGUGUGUAGUCUCCAAUUUACACAAUCUGCAUGUGUUUGUGAGAUGAAGCUGGAGCACCUGGAGAAAACACGGGGAGAACAUGCAGACUCCACACAGGAAGACCCAAUCUGAAACGGAUUCAAACCUGCAAACUCCUUGCCCUGAUUGUGUUUAUUCUGACACAACACAAGCAGAAUAUAUAAACCCUCUGUAAAGAGUCACAUACAGUGUAUUUAAGUUGGUCUUUACUAUUUUCCACUGUUGUCCCUCAGUAUGUCUCCAUGUGUGUAGAACCACAUUCUGUGUAUAUGUUUGUUUAUGAUCUUAAAGUUCCUGGAUUCACGUCACAAAUUGAUUUAGUUCAACACAAAGUUAAACACACUGAAAUCACUUUAAAUUCAAAAUCAGACUUUUGUCUUUGAAACAAAAGAUCAAAACUCUGGACUUAAAAAUGGGACGUUUUCAUUUCUGCAUCAGGUGCAGAGCGGUGGUUGCUUUUCUACUUUUGACCCACAGGUGGCUCUGUAGUAUAACAGCAGAACAUCCCAGUCCAAGCCUUUAUAUUCAGUCUAUGAGUCAAACACAUGGAUCAUUUCCUCUGUGACAAACCAGAUGUAACGAGAAGAAAAACAUCUCAGAGAGAAAAGUUCUGUUUCUACUUGUCUCUGCUUUAAUGCUCAAUAAACAUCCUUCCACCGAC